GUGCUAGGGAUAGGUAGUAGAUCAAUAUAGAGCACUCAACACGCAUUUCUUAUCACAUUCUGGCCCACGUCUCUUCCCUGCCUCCGCGUUCUCCUCAGUAAUCCGGCAGCGGUGAAACAUUAAAAAUUAACAAAGGUUGCCUAUUGCUGACGUGUCAUGCCCAGCGGCGGUGCGCGCCGGCAGUCACGUGUUUAGUCCUUACAGAGUCAGAGCCGACGUGCAUGAGCGUGGCCAGGCUGCGCCUAUUCACACGCCAGCCGUCGACCACAGUGCACCACAGGAGUGAUGACGUCUUGAGGCCGGGCGCCGCAGCAGCAGUUGGAGCGCCGCCCGCCCGCCAACCGCCCACGCAGCAUGCGCUGGACGCUGCCCGUCCCAGGUACGGCAGCCAACGACCCUUCCAAGUGGUGACCCGCGGAGCUUCUGGUAAAGACCGUUCGAUCCGAUCUGAACCGAACGGCUGCCUGGCAGCAGGACUGCGAGACCUGCGGAUAGAUCAACCUCACAGACGCUGCAGGCGGUCUCUGUAACGGCCCGCCUACAUUUCUCGCGAGCCGACGUGGGCGGUUACUGCUCGGCGUCUCGGCAAACACAGCGGACGCAGUGUGUGAGUGUGUGUCGGAUGGAACUGUGUGUCUGCUUGCAGGCGUGUGAUAUUACGUGACCUGCUGCGAUGAAGCCGCUGAUGGCAAUGUAGAUUGUGGACGUCACGCCGGAGCGCUACACAUAUCUAUAUGG